AUUGAACGCUGGCGGCAGGCCUAACACAUGCAAGUCGAGCGGCAGCGCGGGGGUAACUCUGGCGGCGAGCGGCGGACGGGUGAGUAACGCGUGGGAAUCUACCCUCUAGUGGGGGAUAACUCGGGGAAACUCGAGCUAAUACCGCAUAAUCUCUACGGAGGAAAGCGGGGGACCUUAGGGCCUCGCGCUGGAGGAUGAGCCCGCGUCGGAUUAGCUAGUUGGUAGGGUAAAGGCCUACCAAGGCGACGAUCCGUAGCUGGUCUGAGAGGAUGAUCAGUCACACUGGGACUGAGACACGGCCCAGACUCCUACGGGAGGCAGCAGUGGGGAAUAUUGGACAAUGGGCGCAAGCCUGAUCCAGCCAUGCCGCGUGUGUGAAGAAGGCCUUCGGGUUGUAAAGCACUUUAAGUGGGGAGGAAGGUCUGCGCGUUAAUA
rnacentral:rRNA from 1 species